CCAACCUAAAAUACUGCUUUCUAGAAUUGAAAGGACACUCGAUUGGCAUCAGAGCUCCAAACCGGUGAAGCUUCCUUAGUGCUAGUGCGGCACAUCGGGCCUCUCGAGGGCUGGUUUCCAGCUGCCCGAGGUCGUAGGGGAGAAGCCAGUCUGCACCUGCUUCGAGAGUUACCCGUGCUUCAAGGAUUGCCCACUGUUUCACAGCCACAAGAAAGAGACGCACUGAACCGUAAGUUCUUGAUCACCCAUCAGCUAGGGACAUCUAGUAGAGAGCCUCUGCCCUGAAAGUUUUGAUUGCCUUCUCUGCCAUGGGUGAGCAAUGGUGAGUGAUAGGGAGUGGAGACAAACUAGACCCACCCAGCUCUUAUGAAAGCCAAUGAGUCUGGAUCUCAAGCCUAUAGGGAGAUGACUGACACCUAUUUACCCAGAACACAUUAUGGUCUACAGCUCAUCCUAAAGGAUGCUUAGAGUCAACAUGAGGCUACUGUGCUACAGCAAACAGAUUCAGGUAGUACCCAACGUUUACCUGUUUCUUCUCUCUCUUCCAUGUCAUCAGCAUGUCCUCUCAGCAAGACUUACCCUUCAUCUCACAAAUGUCACCACAACUAUUUGAUUCCUUGGCUUCUGUCUUCAUCAGUAGGCUGGUUAACUCUUUCAAAAUUAAAACUAAGCAAACACUAUGAGCAGCCCCUGAGGACUGCACAAUUUCCCAAGUGUCUUGAUGAUCCAGUAUCCUGAUAACCAGCUCUGAUAUCGUGGAAGUUUGGCUGGCUCAGACCUCUGUCACCUUUAUUUUCACUUUGUCUCCAUUUCCACUUGAAUCUUGAACGAGAGUGGAAAGGUGGAAUCAUGGGAAAGAUGUUGAAGCUGCAAUUCUAGGGUAUAGCUUGUGAGAAGUUUGUAUUAUCCCAAAUAGAAAUUUCUAUACUUACUUUCAAUUUAAUGUUACCCUGAGUAUAAUUUCUAUUGCAUUUAUUGUUAUUUUUAUAAAAGUAGGGUCCAUUUGCUAUGUCAAGUUGAGUGCUCUUUUUUCUAUUUCCCCACAUGGAUGCAGUUCCCACCUGUUACCUAAAUACCUUUUUAUUAUAUUGUUAAUAUGUAACUCUACUGUAGACCAAAAAUAUAAAACGAAUUUGCUCAUUUUAAACAUGUAAAGAAUCUAGUGAGUAAAGAUGAAGAGAAAAGACAGGAGAGCAGUGGUUAACUAUGUUGUUAGGAAUCGAAGAGUAGCCUUACCUGUUUUUAACCAGUGCUCGCCAGUCACGCCAUAGUUGGGAUUAUGUUAUCAUGGCUUCUUCAUGCUUCUGUUCUACAAGUCUUGUUUGUUUGUUUCCUUUGAUGUAAUUGAGGUUGCACAAUGAUGCUUUUUUUUUUUUUUUGGUAAUGCCUGAUUUUAUUAUAAUGUACUUUAUCAGUCAUUUCCUUUAGAAGAAUGAGGGGGAAAGUUUUAUUUCUUCUUUUAAUUUAAAUUUUGUUGAAUGCACUGGAAACAAAAUUGGACACAUUUCACUGUUUAAAAAUCAGAAGCAAAACAAAACAAAACCCCAAAGAAAAAACCAGCAACCAAGUAAGUAACAGGACACACACAUGCACACACACAAAAAAAAGCUAUGAAAAAUAAUCUGUUCAAGCAAAAUAUACACAUAAGCUAUAUCUCACAUGAGAGGAAAAUACUGUCCAAGUAAGAAAAACACAGUGUAAGCUAUGGUGCCGAAAACUAUAAGAGGAACCUAGGUUUAAAGUGAGCAGAGGAAACAGCCCAUUCCUUUCUGAGGCAAGAUCUUUUCAUUGUUCCAAUAAAAACCUAAGCAAAUUGAAUGCGGAAGAGAUUAAGUAGGGAGUGCCCUAGCCUUCCUUAUACUACCC
ensembl:lncRNA